rnacentral:lncRNA from 1 species
GCAAUGCAGUGGUAGCGAAUCCUGGUUAUGGUGGUUAGCUUCGCGAUGGUAGAUUUAGGGAAAACGAUGAGGCGCUUUGUGGCUACGUUUUGGUGGUGGAGAAGGGAGGAUGCACGAAGAACUUGAACAUUGGCCAUGGUAGCUUUUGGUCGGUGAAACAGAAAAGGGUUGUUGGUGGUUUUGGUUUUGGUUUAAGUUUAGGUUAUGGUGAGUUUUUUGGUGGUGAUAGAAGUGGAAGUUAUUAGGGUGGCGCCUCUGGUUGGCCU